CCAAAGUGCAAAUUUGGACAAGCACCCCAAAAGGUGCCGGGGCUU
rnacentral:tRNA from 1 species